UUAAUUUUUUUCUAUCGAACAUACAACAUAAUUGAAUUUAGAGGUCAAUGAUCUAAGUAUCUUGCUGACCACCAUACUUUGCUCCAUGUUUUCACCAUUUGAUUUCAUCUUGUUCACCAAGCUGAGGGUUCUUCCCAAAAAGUUGUCUACUUUCUCUCAUUCUUUCAUACCAAGCAGCUCAAACUCUCUUCUCAGAGCUUGAAGUUGUGCCCUCUUUACCUUUGUGGAACCUUUGAUACUUCUGCCGCAUUGACAUCCAGAUUGUCUUCGAUGCCCCUUUGUCAAUAAUUGUCUCCAGAAUUUCUCUAUCAAUAGCCUGGAAUAAGAAAUUCUUAACCUUCAAAUCCAUGAGCUUGGCUUCCUCCACACUUUUCCUCUGUGCUUCACUCGUUGGUGUGGUUCCAAUUGCCGGCACAGGCCCUUGUGGAGCUCAGAUACCAAAUGUAGAAAAAAGAAUGAGAUAAUAGGUGA